rnacentral:lncRNA from 1 species
CCACCGGCGCUACAUCUUUCAUCACCGCUUUUUUGCCUCGCCCGUCUCAGGUAAUUCGUUUAUGAAUUUCGUCGAUGUCUAUCUAACGUACGAAAAAUUCAACUUUACUCUUCUAUAUUGCAGUUACAUAUAAAACGUAGACGAUAAAACGAAGAUAGGUUGACUGAGAUGGUUUUGCCAUACAUAUGUAGACCUCCAAAUCACUAUUCUGAUGAAUGUGCUACAAGUUGACAAUGUAAUAACCUCGCGGAUUUAAUGUGAACUUAACUAAGAAUAAGACUAAGACAUAAUAAUAAAAAUAAAGGGUCCAUAUAAAAUGGCGGAGCUAAAGUAAGGAAGGAGUUCAAUUGAAUUCCCUUCCUCCGCAAUUACAUUGUGCAAUUAGGGUAAAAACAAAUUGUUUUUACCUAGGAUUCCUAGAAACAAUUGAAUCCCGUUAUGGAUUCCUAGAUCGGUGGUGGUCAGGCUCGUUGCUAUGCUUUUUCGAGUAGACCCAAGGCGGUGGCCUCAGAAACUGUGAUCAUAUGUAUUGUUUUGGUUUGUCGUAGAGAUGCUUCUGUAUUGUUUGAUCCAGGGACUAUCUAUUCAUAUGUGUCAUCAUAUUUUACCCCUUAUUUGGAUAUGCCUCGUUGUUCUCUACUUCUCUUGAUAUUCAUGUUGUUCCUGUAUGUACACCUGGUGCUGAUGGUGAUUUUAUUGUGGUGGAUCGUGUAUAUCGGUCUUGUAUGGUUACUACUGGGGUUUACUUCCGCAUAUAAGUGAUACCAAAUAGUGGUGAUUAACUCUUUAGUUUAUUUUUGUUAUUUUUGUCGGGAGUCCUUAUAAUCUAGUUAGGACUUGUAUAUCAAUGUAGGAAUAAGGACGAGGGUUAAAAAGCCCCACUCGUCUUUAAAGUCGUUUCAGUUAGUACUAUUUCAGUUACUACUAGAAUGAAAUAAUCAUAUAACUGAACCUAAUCAGUUUGGGAUUGAGGAGUAGUUGAUUGCUUGAUUAGUAUAUGAGAAAUAAAAACAAACUGUACAAAAAAUAGCAAAAAUGAAAUUCAUUCAGUAUGUUUUAAUUAUGACUUUCUUUUCUGUUAUAAGGAUGUUUUAAUUUUGACUUCUGCCGCAGAAAGAAGCAAUUGCUCAGAAACCUUUUACUACUUUGUUUUGUUAGGUUUCAUUUUGAAUGUCUAAAGAGGAAAGAGAAAAUGUGUUCUUAAGAAAUAUGGAGUAAAGCAAAGACAAGAAAAGUAAUGUUCUUGUAAUUGUUUGUUUGACUACGAAAGAAAAGUUCAAAGGGAAGUAAAAUGUUUAUGUUACAACUUAAAAAUCCUUGUAGAUUUGCCAUGAAAAAAUUUCCUGCAGGGAAAUUUGAAAGGACGGAUUGCACAACAUUCCAGUUAUCCGAAGGCUAGGAAAAUGUUGAAUAGCUGACUCUUCAAUCCAGCUUUUUUGGAAUAAAUUGCACAGGUUAUGAUUAUGAAACUCUUCUACAGUUAUGCCUGUAUGGUAUAAGAUGUGAUUCUCUUUUGCGCAGAAAUAGCAGAACUUUCCUUUAGCUGUUUCUAUUUGUUCUCCCUUUCUCAAGUCUUUUCCUUGAUUGGUAUGACCAACUGGAUAAUUUAUUAGAAAUGAUUUCUAUACAGAGCAGGGCACAUUAGUUCACCAGAAAGAUGAGUCAUCAAUAGAGUAUUUUCUUUGUCUUUCGUUUUGCACCUGUGCUGCACUGCUAUUGUGUCCUGAAAUUUAGAGGGUACUGAACUAUCUGAGGACUGAGAGUGUCAUCCUUCGCCCCAUAAUUCAACCAGGAAUUCAAGGCAGAUUGAAUUGCAUAUAGUAAAGAACAAAAUGGUUUUGUACAUAGCUUCAUCCAAGGUGACGAUGAAAUACCAAAUGAUUACCUGAACUCCUGCAUGUUGCGGAAGCCAAAUGUAUAUGGUGUGAAUGAGUCACAACUAUUAUACCAAAAAUUAUGACAGCCACCAAAUAAUAAAUAAGAUAAUAAAGCAACAAUAAAAGGAACACCAGAAUUUACGAGGUUCGGCCAAUUUUGUCUACUUUCUCGGACACAACCAAUAUUUUAUUUCACUCCAAAAAUACAAGUGAAAUAAUACUAAAGAGAGAAGAUACAAAUGCCUUAAAAAGAUAAGAAGACAAAUGAGAGGUGUAUCAAAAUCCUAAACAUUAAGCCUCCUUUUAUAGGGAAAAAUUCCCUACCAAAUGGUUAAACCACCGAUGUGAGAUUUGCCAAAUUCAACAAAUCUCCACCUUGGCAAAAUUUCACAUCUUCAAUUUUCUCUCAAUAACAAAUUUUGGUUGUGUCUUCAUCUUCAAUCUUCAGUGUUCAACAAUGUUGAUCAAAUCCAAACAACGUUGAAACUUGACCGCAAUCACCACUUUUGUCAGCAUAUUAGUAGGAUUCUCUGUAGUAUAAAUUUUCUUCACCAUGACUCCACAUUCUUCUAUGAUUUCUCGUAUGAAAUGAUAUCGAACAUCAAUGUGUUUCGUCCUUGCAUGAUAAACUUGGUUCUUUGCU